UACGUAGGGGGCAAGCGUUGUCCGGAAUCAUUGGGCGUAAAGCGCGUGUAGGCGGCUCGAUAAGUCUGCUGUGAAAGUCCAGGGCUCAACCCUGGGAUGCCGGUGGAUACUGUCGAGCUCGAGUCCGGAAGAGGCGAGUGGAAUUCCUGGUGUAGCGGUGAAAUGCGUAGAGAUCGGGAGGAAUACCGGUGGCGAAAGCGACUCUCUGGACGGCAAACUGACGCUGAGGCACGAAAGCGUGGGGAGCAAACAGGG
rnacentral:rRNA from 1 species